rnacentral:rRNA from 1 species
GGGCAUGCUUAACAUGCAGUCGAACGGCAGCACGAAGAGAGCUUGCUCUCUUGGUGGCGAGUGGCGGACGGGUGAGUAAUAUAUCGGAACGUGCCUAGUAUCGGGGGAUAACUACUCGAAAGAGUGGCUAAUACCGCAUACGCCCUACUGGGGAAAGGGGGGGAUCGCAAGACCUCUCACUAUUAGAGCGGCCGAUAUCGGAUUAGCUAGUUGGUGGGGUAAAGGCUCACCAAGGCAACGAUCCGUAUCUGGUUUGAGAGGACAACCAGCCACACUGGGACUGAGACACGGCCCACACUCCUACGGGAGGCGGCAGUGGGGAAUUUUGGACAAUGGGGGAAACCCUGAUCCACCCAUCCCGCGUGUGUGAUGAAAGCCUUCGGGUUGUAAAGUACUUUUGGCAGAGAAAAAAAGGUACCUCCUAAUACUAGGUACUGCUGACGGUAUCUGCAGAAUAAGCACCGGCUAACUACGUGCCAGCAGCCGCGGUAAUACGUAGGGGGCAAGCGUUAAUCGGAAUUACUGGGCGUAAAGCGUGUGUAGGCGGUUCGGAAAGAAAGAUGUGAAAUCCCAGGGCUUAGCCUUGGAACUGCGUGUUUAACUGCCAAGCUAUAGUAUGUCAGAGGGGGGUAGAAUUCCACGUGUAACAGUGAAAUGCGUACAUAUGUGGAGGAAUACCGAUGGCGAAAGCAGCCCCCUGGGAUAAUACUGACGCUCACACACGAAAGCGUGGGGAGCAAACACGAUUAGAUACCCUGGUACUCCACGCCCUAAACGAUGUCCACUAGCUGUUGGGGCCGAUACGUCUUAUGAGCGCACCUAACGCGUGAAGUUGACCGCCUGGAGAGUACGGUCGCAGAUUAAAACUCACAGGAAUUGACGGGGACCCGCACAGCGGUGGAUGAUGUGGAUCAUUUCGAUGCAACGCGAAGACCUUACCUAC